rnacentral:lncRNA from 1 species
CCGGCAGCAGGAGGAGGAGGAGGAGGAGGAGGAGGAAGAAGAGGAGGAGGAGACGGCCUUCUUCCCUCCCGCCGCCCAGCGCGGAGGCAGGUUGAGCCGCGGCGAGGCUGGGAGGCCGGCGGCGGAGGCUCGGCGGAGUCCCGGGAGCCGAGGAGGGCUCGGAGCAGCGAGCGGCUCGGCGGCGGGGCAGGUGGCGGCAGCCGAGCGGCGCUCCAGGACUGAGAGCGGAGGCCGGGAGGAGGAGCCCGGCCUCGGCGCCUCCCCGAGCCGGCCCCCCCGGGGAGGAGAGGGGUGGGUUCGGCUCCCAGACCCCCCAGGCCGGGCGGGGAGGUGCUGCCGAGCUGUCAUCCACAAGGACCAGAAUGAAGAGCAGGGAAAGGCUGAGCCAGAGAUAACAGAAGGAAAGCACAAGGUCUUUGUGGCUGAAAAUUCAGGCAGUCACCAGGAGGAGCCCUGAUGUUAGUGGGAGUACUUGAGCCUUGGGACUCAGGGAACAUGAGGAGAUAUUUUUGACAUCGUAGGAAUCUUCAGCUUUCAUGAAAGUGAUGAUAUUUUGGGAGGCAGUUCUCUUUCUAGAGUGCAUUAAGGUGUGAUGAGAGACUUCCCUGAGCAAAAAUUCCUGAAACAUUGAGUGGUCAAGGUGAGAGCCUAUUCUUCUCCAAAAAGCUUAGGGGAGUUCAGCUACAAGCAGCAUGUAGGAAAU